AUUGAACGCUGGCGGCAGGCCUAACACAUGCAAGUCGAGCGAGCGGCGGACGGGUGAGUAAUGUCUGGGAAAUUGCCUGAUGGAGGGGGAUAACUACUGGAAACGGUAGCUAAUACCGCAUACCAUCAGAUGUGCCCAGAUGGGAUUCGCGGGUAGGUGGGGUAACGGCUUACCUAGGCGACGAACCCUAGCUGGUCUGAGAGGAUGACCAGCAACACGGGAGCGGAGACGAGGUCCAGACUCGUACGGGAGGCAGCAGUGGGGAAUAUUGAACAAAGGGCGCAAGCCUGAUGCAGCCAUGCCGCGUGUGUGAAGAAGGCCUUCGGGUUGUAGAGCACUUUCAGCGGGGAGGCUUUUCCCGCAGACGAAGCACCGGCUAACUCCGUGCCAGCAGCCGCGGUAAUAC
rnacentral:rRNA from 1 species